rnacentral:rRNA from 1 species
GAUGAACGCUGGCGGUAUGCUUAACACAUGCAAGUCGAACGGACUCUUCGGAGUUAGUGGCGGACGGGUGAGUAACGCGUGAGAAUCUGGCUUUGGGUUCGGGACAACCACUGGAAACGGUGGCUAAUACCGGAUGUGCCGAGAGGUAAAAGAGAAAUUGCCUGAAGAUGAGCUCGCGUCUGAUUAGCUAGUUGGUGAGGUAAAGGCUCACCAAGGCAGCGAUCAGUAGCUGGUCUGAGAGGAUGACCAGCCACACUGGGACUGAGACACGGCCCAGACUCCUACGGGAGGCAGCAGUGGGGAAUUUUCCGCAAUGGGCGAAAGCCUGACGGAGCAAUACCGCGUGAGGGAAGAAGGCUCUUGGGUUGUAAACCUCUUUUCUUAGGGAAGAACAAAAUGACGGUACCUAAGGAAUCAACAUCGGCUAACUCCGUG